GAUGAACGCUGGCGGCGUGCCUAAUACAUGCAAGUCGAGCGCAGAGACGAGGUACUUGUUCCACUUACAUUAGCGGCGAACGGGUGAGUAACACGUGGAUAACCUACCUAUAAGCGGGGGAUAACUUCGGGAAACGGAAGCUAAUACCGCAUAAUAACUUGAAACACAUGGUUCAAUAGUGAAAGAUGGAAUUGCAUCACCCAAAAGAUAUAUCGCGGCGUAUUUGGCAGGUGGUGAAGGUAAGGCCUAACCAGGGGAAGGUACAGUAGCGGCCCUAAGGGGGGGAUCGGCCCCAUGGGAACGAGACACCGGCCAAAACUCCACGGGAGGGCGGCAGUGGGGAACCUUCGCCAAUGGGCGAAGGCCUGACGGGGCAACGCGCGUGGGUUGAGGAGGGUCUCCGGUUCGUAAACCUCUGUUAUUGGGGAAGAACAAAGUUGUAAUUAACUAUGCACGUCGUGACGGUACCUAAUCAGAAAGCCACGGCUAACUACGUG
rnacentral:rRNA from 1 species